AAAUUGAAGAGUUUGAUCAUGGCUCAGAUUGAACGCUGGCGGCAGGCCUAACACAUGCAAGCCGAGCGGUAGCACAGAGAGCUUGCUCUCGGGUGACGAGCGGCGGACGGGUGAGUAAUGUCUGGGAAACUGCCUGAUGGAGGGGGAUAACUACUGGAAACGGUAGCUAAUACCGCAUAACGUCGCAAGAGCAA
rnacentral:rRNA from 1 species